rnacentral:rRNA from 1 species
CCUACGGGAGGCAGCAGUGAGGAAUAUUGGUCAAUGGCCGAGAGGCUGAACCAGCCAAGUCGCGUGAGGGAUGACGGCCCUACGGGUUGUAAACCUCUGUUGUCGGGGAGCAAAGAGAGUCACGUGUGGCUCAUUGAGAGUACCCGAAGAAAAAGCAUCGGCUAACUCCGUGCCAGCAGCCGCGGUAAUACGGAGGAUGCGAGCGUUAUCCGGAUUUGUUGGGGGUAAAGGGUGCGUAGGCGGAAUAGCAAGUCAGCGGGAAAAAUUCGGGGCUCAACCUCGUCGUGCCGGUGAAACUGAUGUUCUUGAUUGGGCGAGAAGUAUGCGGCAUGCGUGGUGUAGCGGUGAAAUGCAUAGAUAUCACGCAGAACUCCGAUUGCGAAGGCAGCAUACCGGCGCCCAACUGACGCUGAAGCACGAAAGCGUGUGUAUCGAACAGGAUUAGAUACCCUUGUAGUC